UACGUAGGGGCCUAGCGUUGUCCGGAUUUAUUGGGCGUAAAGAGCUCGUAGGCGGUUCGGUAAGUCAGGUGUGAAAUCUCCACGCUCAACGUGGAGGGGCCACCUGAUACUGCCGUGACUCGAGUCCGGUAGGGGAGUGUGGAAUUCCCGGUGUGGCGGUGAAAUGCGCAGAUAUCGGGAGGAACACCAGUAGCGAAGGCGGCACUCUGGGCCGGAACUGACGCUGAGGAGCGAAAGCGUGGGUAGCAAACAGG
rnacentral:rRNA from 1 species